AUUGAACGCUGGCGGCACGCCUAACACAUGCAAGUCGAGCGGCAGCGAGUUCUGUAGCAAUACAGGAUGUCGGCGAGCGGCGGACGGGUGAGGAACACGUAGGAACAUGCCUAGAAGAGGGGGACAACCAAGGGAAACUUUGGCUAAUACCGCGUAAUUUCGGAAGAAAAAAGCUGCCUGCAAGGGUGGCGCUUCUAGAGUGGCCUGCGACCGAUUAGCUAGUUGGUGGGGUAAAAGCUCACCAAGGCGAUGAUCGGUAACUGGUCUGAGAGGACGGCCAGUCACACUGGGACUGAGACACGGCCCAGACUCCUACGGGAGGCAGCAGUGGGGAAUAUUGGACAAUGGGGGCAACCCUGAUCCAGCGAUGCCGCGUGGGUGAAGAAGGCCUUCGGGUUGUAAAGCCCUUUAGGUUGGGACGAAGUGUAGUAGGUUAAGAGCUAAUUACAUUGACGGUACCGACAGAAUAAGCACCGGCAAACUCUGUGCCAGCCGCCGCAGUAACAC
rnacentral:rRNA from 1 species